UGGGGAAUCUUGGUCAAUGGGCGAAAGCCUGAACCUGCGACGCCGCGUGUGUGAUGAAGGUCGUAAGAUCGUAAAACUCUUUUCAGGGAUCUUAAAGCCUGUCUGUCAACAACAGGCAGAUCUGACUCUCCCUGGAAGAAGCGCAAGCCAACUCCGUGCCAGCAGCCGCGGUAAUACGGAGGGUGCAAGCGUUAUUCGGAAUUACUGGGCGUAAAGGGCGUGCAGGCGGGAGAGCAAGUCUGAUGUGAAAGCCCGGGGCUUAACCCCGGAAGGGCAUUGGAAACUGGUUUGCUUGAGUUCUGGAGAGGAAGGGAGAAUUCCCGGUGUAGAGGUGAAAUUCGUAGAGAUCGGGAGGAACAUCAGUGGCGAAGGCGCCCUUCUGGACAGCAACUGACGCUGAGACGCGAAAGCGUGGGGAGCAAACA
rnacentral:rRNA from 1 species